rnacentral:misc_RNA from 1 species
AAGUCGUAACAAGGUUUCCGUAGGUGAACCUGCGGAAGGAUCAUUAUUGAAUUCACAAGCAUCGUUGCUGCUGGCUCUCCGGAGCAUGUGCACACUUUGCAUAUAUUCAACCACCUGUGAACCUCUUGUAGAUCUAGGAACAAAACUCAAGGAAACUUGGAUUAGAGGGUUGCCGGUCUCUCAUGAGAUCGACUUCCCUUGAAGUUCCUCGGUCUAUGCUUUAUAUACCCCAUAAAACGUUACAGAAUGUCAUUAACGGCUUUAAAAAGCCUUAAACUUAUACAACUUUCAACAACGGAUCUCUUGGCUCUC